rfam:Oryctolagus cuniculus chromosome 7, whole genome shotgun sequence.
GCCCGGCUAGCUCAGUCGGUAGAGCAUGAGACUCUUAAUCUCAGGGUCAUGGGUUUGAGCCCCAUGUUGGGCG